GACGAACGCUGGCAGCAUGCUUAACACAUGCAAGUCGAACGGAAAGGCCCUGCUUUUGUGGGGUGCUCGAGUGGCGAACGGGUGAGUAACACGUGAGUAACCUGCCCUUGACUUUGGGAUAACUUCAGGAAACUGGGGCUAAUACCGGAUAGGAGCUCCUGCUGCAUGGUGGGGGUUGGAAAGUUUCGGCGGUUGGGGAUGGACUCGCGGCUUAUCAGCUUGUUGGUGGGGUAGUGGCUUACCAAGGCUUUGACGGGUAGCCGGCCUGAGAGGGUGACCGGCCACAUUGGGACUGAGAUACGGCCCAGACUCCUACGGGAGGCAGCAGUGGGGAAUAUUGCACAAUGGGCGGAAGCCUGAUGCAGCAACGCCGCGUGCGGGAUGACGGCCUUCGGGUUGUAAACCGCUUUCGCCUGUGACGAAGCGUGAGUGACGGUAAUGGGUAAAGAAGCACCGGCUAACUACGUG
rnacentral:rRNA from 1 species